rnacentral:rRNA from 1 species
UUCCUACGGGACGCAGCAGUGGGGAAUAUUGCACAAUGGGGGGAACCCUGAUGCAGCGACGCCGCGUGGGUGAAGGAGCACCUCGGUGCGUAAAGCCCUAUCGGCAGGGGAGGAACAGACGGUACCUGACGAAGAAGCCCCGGCUAACUACGUGCCAGCAGCCGCGGUAAUACGUAGGGGGCAAGCGGUAUCCGGAUUCACUGGGGGGAAAGGGAGCGUAGACGGCGACGCAAGUCU